AUUGAACGCUGGCGGCAUGCUUUACACAUGCAAGUCGAACGGUAACAGGCCGCAAGGUGCUGACGAGUGGCGAACGGGUGAGUAAUGCAUCGGAACGUGCCCAGUCGUGGGGGAUAACGCAGCGAAAGCUGCGCUAACACCGCAUACGAUCUAUGGAUGAAAGCGGGGGACCGUAAGGCCUCGCGCGAUUGGAGCGGCCGAUGUCAGAUUAGGUAGUUGGUGGGGUAAAGGCUCACCAAGCCGACGAUCUGUAGCUGGUCUGAGAGGACGACCAGCCACACUGGGACUGAGACACGGCCCAGACUCCUACGGGGGGCAGCAGUGGGGAAUUUUGGACAAUGGGCGCAAGCCUGAUCCAGCAAUGCCGCGUGCAGGAAGAAGGCCUUCGGGUUGUAAACUGCUUUUGUACGGAACGAAACGGUCCUGGUUAAUACCCGGGGCUAAUGACGGUACCGUAAGAAUAAGCACCGGCUAACUACGUGCCAGCCGCCGCAGUAAGAC
rnacentral:rRNA from 1 species